AAUACAUUCAUGUGCCACCUCAUGUGACACUUCACUUAGAAGAUACUGUAAGCUUAGAAGAUACUAUUUUCAUGUGUUUACACAAGACAGUUUUGCCUACUAGCUCUCAGAUGGCUGGUUUCUUCUUUGUGUCCUAAUAGAGGUUUUCCAUGAACCACCAAGUGAAAAUGAUGGGAAUGGAAAUUCAGCCUCCAAUCAACUGUAAAACUUCACGAGCAUGAUCACUCUUCCCUCCUGAAAAUAUUGCGCAUGCCUAGAUUCAGGGCAGCAUGACACUGGGCUGGGUUAGAUUCUCCCCUUCUCUUAACCAUACAAGUGGACACAUUUUCCUUCAUGUUUUGGUUGGCAAGUGAUGUGGAAAUCUCACACACCCACUGCUUCUGAGCAAGCCUCCAGGAUAGGUUGCUGUUGCCGCUGGAAUUUAACUCUCAGUGGCCAGUACUAUGGAGAUACCUGAGGGACAGUAAUUCUUAACUUGACAUAAACUUUCCUCCAGUAGGGUGCUUGACAUUCUGGACCUUAUUAAAUACCUGGCAGAUGAAA